AAGGUAAAGGGUUAUGAAGACCCAUAUUUAGGGAUUGUUUUUAUGAAUGUUUGACGAAGAGGGUAAGUUAUAGCAGCAGCAUGGAACCCAUUGCAUCCCAACAUAUACAGAACUUUAGAGAUGAAUUCGGUAAGCAUACGAUAAUGACGUAGAAGCCAGUUACUUUAACUGUGGUUAAAGCAAAAAUCAGUUGUGAAUUCCCAAAAUCGUAUGUAAAUUGUUUAGCGUUUUUUAAAUAGAUUUGGUUUAUAUCGAAGUAAUUGUUAUUGACUCAAAAUUAUAGAUUGCUUAGCAUUAUGGAUGGACGUGCAAAUACUUAACGAAACCGAUGUAACAAUUACCUUACUUCAAUCAAGGAAGUCUGAAUGUGAAAUAACUACACUAAUAUUUACAACAGCUCGAAUGCUGCAUUACAAUCCUUACAAAGAAAGCACCUGAAAACUAUCCAUCUAGAUUUAAAACCAUUCUUUUAACCUUGGAAACCCUUAGACAACUAAAAAUAUAACAAAAUAUAGAUUUAAGAAUAUCAUUUUAAAGAGACAAAAAUACGGUGGAUUUGAUAUACCUAGAAUAACGAAUCACACUUUGUAAUGUAAAAGCAG